rnacentral:rRNA from 1 species
GCCUAACACAUGCAAGUCGAGCGGUAAGGCCCUUCGGGGUACACGAGCGGCGAACGGGUGAGUAACACGUGAGCAACCUGCCCCUGACUCCGGGAUAAGCGGUGGAAACGCCGUCUAAUACCGGAUAUGACCUGCCACCUCAUGGUGGCGGGUGGAAAGUUUUAUCGGUCAGGGAUGGGCUCGCGGCCUAUCAGCUUGUUGGUGGGGUAACGGCCUACCAAGGCGAUUACGGGUAGCCGGCCUGAGAGGGCGACCGGCCACACUGGGACUGAGACACGGCCCAGACUCCUGCGGGAGGCAGCAGUGGGGAAUAUUGCACAAUGGGCGAAAGCCUGAUGCAGCGACGCCGCGUGGGGGAUGACGGCCUUCGGGUUGUAAACCUCUUUUACCACCAACGCAGGCUCCGGGUUCUCUCGGGGUUGACGGUAGGUGGGGAAUAAGGACCGGCUAACUACGUGCCAGCAGCCGCGGUAAUACGUAGGGUCCGAGCGUUGUCCGGAAUUAUUGGGCGUAAAGAGCUCGUAGGCGGCAUGUCGCGUCUGCUGUGAAAGACCGGGGCUUAACUCCGGUUCUGCAGUGGAUACGGGCAUGCUAGAGGUAGGUAGGGGAAACUGGAAUUCCUGGUGUAGCGGUGAAAUGCGCAGAUAUCAGGAGGAACACCGGUGGCGAAGCGGGUUUCUGGGCCUUACCUGACGCUGAGGAGCGAAAGCAUGGGGAGCGAACAGGAUUAGAUACCCUGGUAGUCCAUGCCGUAAACGUUGGGCGCUAGGUGUGGGGACUUUCCACGGUUUCCGCGCCGUAGCUAACGCAUUAAGCGCCCCGCCUGGGGAGUACGGCCGCAAGGCUAAAACUCAAAGGAAUUGACGGGGGCCCGCACAAGCGGCGGAGCAUGUUGCUUAAUUCGACGCAACGCGAAGAACCUUACCAAGGUUUGACAUCACCCGUGGACCUGUAGAGAUACAGGGUCAUUUAGUUGGUGGGUGACAGGUGGUGCAUGGCUGUCGUCAGCUCGUGUCGUGAGAUGUUGGGUUAAGUCCCGCAACGAGCGCAACCCUUGUUCUAUGUUGCCAGCACGUUAUGGUGGGGACUCAUAGGAGACUGCCGGGGUCAACUCGGAGGAAGGUGGGGACGACGUCAAGUCAUCAUGCCCCUUAUGUCUUGGGCUGCAAACAUGCUACAAUGGCCGGUACAAUGGGCGUGCGAUACCGUAAGGUGGAGCGAAUCCCUUAAAGCCGGUCUCAGUUCGGAUUGGGGUCUGCAACUCGACCCCAUGAAGGUGGAGUCGCUAGUAAUCGCGGAUCAGCAACGCCGCGGUGAAUACGUUCCCGGGCCUUGUACACACCGCCCGUCACGUCAUGAAAGUCGGCAACACCCGAAACUUGUGGCCUAACCCUUCGGGGAGGGAAUGAGUGAAGGUGGGGCUGGCGAUUGGGACGAAGUCGUAACAAGGUAGCCGUACCGGAAGGUGCGGCUGGAUCACCUCCUU